GGUCACGAGUUCAAAGGGAGGAGCCUGUAGGAAUUAUAGUGUAGACACAUGUCAGAACUUGAACCAGUAUCGCAGCUGGGCCGGGACGGCAUGGCGGCUGGCACUGCGGGCUGCCUGGGCCGAAGCUCGGGCUGGAUAGCGGCGAUCCGGCGGCUGCUGCAGCAGUUCGGCUCCGCCCAGAGGCCAGGCUCCUCCAGUUUUCAGGGCCUUCCCCUGGUGAUAGAGGGCCAGCAGGUGGGAUUGGUGGGACCUGCUGUUGCCCGGGAAUUGCAAGCCUUUCCCGAUGUGUUUGUGGAGGUGGCAGGGCGCCUAGAGCUUCGAGGGGGUCGUUGCCCCAAAGAGCGCACAGAAGCUGUGGCCAAGGUCCUGGCUCAGCUGCGAGCUGAGGGCUGCCUGGUGAGGUUGGCGAGGUGGCGAGAUGAGGCAUAUGAAGUGCGACCCAGUUUCGGAGCCCCGGCCUUAUUAAAUGUGGAGCGAGCGGCAGCCCCCUUGCUGGGAAUCCUCCAGUUUGGGGCGCAUCUCAAUGCUUUUGUGCACCGUCAAGAUGAUGGGACAGGGUCCCGGCAGAUGCUCAUGUGGCUGGCAAGGCGGUCUCCUCACAAGGCCACCUAUCCGGGCCUGCUAGACAACCUGGCAGGCGGGGGCAUAAGUGCUGGGCUGGGUGUCAAGGAGACCAUGGUGAAAGAGAGCUGGGAGGAGGCCCGGUUGCCCCCAGAGCUGGCAGCUCAAGCCCAGCCAGUGGGCUGCCUCAGGUCAAGGAAGCUGUGAGUUCUGGCAGCUUUAAGCCCAACUGUGCUCUGGUGGUGAUUGAUUUCCUGUUCAGACAUGGACUGCUACAUCCAGACCAGGAGCCCCUGUACCCAGAGCUUAUGGCCGUGAUGCACCAGUCCCUGUAAGUUCUGCCCAGGAUGCCCGAAGGUGGCAGGACCAGGAAAGGGGACAAGAACCCGGAGUUUGGGCACUUCUGCUGUUUUUGCAGGAGGAUUGGAGAGCUUCCCAACUCCUGCAAAGCACAAUGGAAAGGCCUGAGGGAGUCAAGGAGUGAUCCAGGUGUCUCCCAUUGGACACGUGGGAAUCUGAAGAAGGAAGUGAACCCUGGCAGGAAGGAAAGGCGGACAUGGUGACAGCAAGGCUGGCGACAUUUCCCAGCAAAGCCUGGGUCUUCCUUGGCUGGAGCCUCAUCCAUCAGAUGAAGGGGGGAGGAGUCAUCACAGACACUCUUCUUCCUGUAGCUGGGGCUGCAGCUUUCUCCUUUUCUUCAUCCUGAAGGGUCAAGCUGUCGCCAGCCCCUGCUCUGAGUCUCUCUCAAAGCCCAGUCUGCAUGGUGAAGUUGUUGUGAAGAUCCAAUAAGACAAUGUUUGUAAAGAGCUUGGCAUGGUCCCGGCACACAUAGGUGCUAGAUAAAUGCUUCCCUCCUCUCAGCCCAGUUGAGAGUCCUUGGGACUCAGUCGCUCCCACAUCCUGAACAGUCCAAGUGUGGCUGGCAUGGCAGAUCGGAGCAGAAACACUCUUUGACUCUCCUCCUGCCUGCUCACUCCUCUGCUCCUUGACUGACUUGUCCCCUCCUCCUAAGUAGGUAUCUCCAAGGCUGUCCACAUAGGAUUAAGGGGUUUGAGCUGGGAAGGGGCUUUGAGAACAAAAGCUUUCUAGUUUGGGAUCACCACACGAUAGAUUUUGGGUUUCCGAUAACUUGGACAGGAAAUAAAUACCUUGAUUUCCACCCA